UAAACGAUGCACACUAGUUGUUGCCCUGCUAGUCAGGGCAGUAAUGCACUUAACAGAUUAAGUGUGCCGCCUGGGGAGUACGGUCGCAAGAUUAAAACUCAAAGGAAUAGACGGGGACCCGCACAAGCGGUGGAGCAUGUGGUUUAAUUCGAAGAUACACGAAGAACCUUACCUAGCCUUGAUAUCCUAAGAAUCCUUUAGAGAUAAGGGAGUGCUAGUUUACUAGAACUUAGAGACAGGUGCUGCACGGCUGUCGUCAGCUCGUGUCGUGAGAUGUUGGGUUAAGUCCCGCAACGAGCGCAACCCUCGUGAUUAGUUGCUAACAGUUCGGCUGAGCACUCUAAUCAGACUGCCUUCGUAAGGAGGAGGAAGGUGAGGACGACGUCAAGUCAUCAUGGCCCUUAUGGCUAGGGCUACACACGUGCUACAAUGGCUAGGACAAAGAGACGCGAUACUGUGAAGUGGAGCAAAUCUUAAAACCUAGUCUCAGUUCGGAUUGAAGUCUGCAACUCGACUUCAUGAAGCUGGAAUCGCUAGUAAUCGUAGAUCAGAUAUGCUACGGUGAAUACGUUCCCGGGUCUUGUACUCACCGCCCGUCACACCAUGGGAGUUGAAUUCACCCGAAGCCGGAAUACUAAACUAGUUACCGACCACGGUGGGUUCAGCAACUGGGGUGAAGUCGUAACAAGGUAACCGU
rnacentral:rRNA from 1 species